AGGUCAGCCGGGAAGCCUGGUCAGGUGGCCUCAGACCACUUACCGGACGACAGACAAGAGGCUCCCAGGCCAGACCCGGUCAGGCCAAGGGCCUCAGGCUCUGCCCCUCUGCGCGACCUCCCUGCGCUAUCCCUCUGCGUGACCCGGCGCACCAGCCCCGCCCCCAUAACCCUGAAGGGCUGCCCACUCCCAUUACACAGGUGCAUAAACUGAGGCUCAGAGAGGAAGAGCGACCUGUUCAGAGCACAGCUGGAACAGAACAGAGCUGGGGCUGGGACCCAGCGCUCCGAUACCCCCGAAAAGGCCCCAGGUCUGGGCUGCCCUGGGGUCCCAUGCCCCAGCCCCGGCAGCUCAGAGAGGGUGAGCGACGGCUUCGGGGUCACACAGCAGCGGGGCACAGCCGGACCCCCGCCCUGCCCCAGCUCACCUGGCUGCAAGGCUGGUCCUCCGGUCUGCUCCAGCACUAGGCAAGGAGCUCAGUCCCGUGCCGGCUCCUCCCCUCUUCUCCCGCCCGCCCCCCGCGGGCCGGAGUGGGGGAGGCUUUAAAGGCACAGGCACCCUUCCAGGUGGGGGGAGGAGCAGCCCUGGGUCCUGCCCCAGGGGGCCGUGUGACCCGGACAGUGGCCAGCCUCUUCCAGCCCGGUGGAUCCCCAGCCCGGGAUAAAAGGACCUGAGUUCUGAGGGCCUCUGUGGAGCCGAAUGAGGCCGGGCUUCCAGCAGGGGCAGGUCAGGCAAUGGGUCUCUCCUGGCCCCUUAGGAUAUCCAGGGGGGUGGCCCCCACUUCUGGCCACGGGAUGCCCUUUCCCCCAGCCCCGGGGCCGCAGGCAUCCACAGGCUGUCACUCGAAGGACCCUGGUCACAGGGACAGAAGGGAGUCACAUGACCCGGGGAGCCUUUCCUCAGCCCCCCAACUUUCUGGGGUCGCGAGCAGGCGGGUUGAUGGAUGACGGGGUGGUCUGCUCACACCCCUGCCCAGCGGGAUGGGGUGGGGUGCUUGCCCCCACAAGGCCGGCAGGUGCAAGCCUGCCCAAGCCUCUGAGGGCCACACGCCACCUGCAGCCUGUACAUACGCACCCAUCAUUCAUUCGUUCCCUCGCUCUCCCCUCUGGCCCAUGCCAUUUCUUCUCUCCAGGAGCCCCCAGCUGGACGCAAGAUGGGUAGCACGGUCUGCGUGGACGGGGAGCCCAGGACACCCCAGGCCGUCGCGGGGGGGGGGCGAUGUCUAGCACCACUGGGAUUGGACUGGGGAGGCCAGGCCCUGGGUGGGGGGGCAUCUCUGGAGCAGAGAAGGCACAAGAAAGACCUUUGACCCUCCUGACCCUUCCAGAGCCGCGAGGCAUCAAAGCUGGAGGGGAUGGUGCUGAGCUCAGACCCUGAAGGCCAGGCCAGUGCGUCUGGACUUUGAGAGCCCGGGGAGGCCGAUGAAUGUGUCACUGGGCUGGGUAACCCAUUAACCCUGGCUCACUCAUUAAGGGCUUCCCUGAUAGCUCAGCUGGUAAAGAAAGAAUCCGCCUGCAAUGGGGGAGACCUGGGUUCGAUCCCGGGGUUGGGAAGAUCCCCUGGAGAAGGGAAAGGCUACCCACUCCAGUGUUCUGGCCUGGAGAACUCCAUGGACUGUGUAGACCACGACUGAGCGACUUUCAGCUUCACUCAUUAAGACCUUGGUGGGUGACCACUAGUCCCGCAGCCACCCCAGGAGCCGGCCAGAGGGCGGGGCCGAGAGCUGGGCUCUGUGUCCUUGCUCCCAGAGGAGCUGCCUGGGUCUGGCCAGCCUCCAGCCAGGGGCAGCUGCCAAGGCAGCCUCGGGCCCCGCCCCACCCUCCCGGAGCCUUUCAUCUGCUAAUGAUCCCGGAGAGCCUGCAGGGCCUGGCCAGACUGGAGACACCGGCGGAGCAGGGGCGGGGGGCAGGCACCCGACCCACCCCAACAACGAACGCCCUGGGAGGGCGCGCGAGCAGGGCACUCCUGGCCCAGGAAACCGCAGCCUAAGAGGACAAAGGACUUGCCCAAAGCUACCUGGCAGGACAGCAACCCAGGAAACAGAGAAGGCCCUGAAAACACUUCCUUCCGCCUGGGGCGCACCCCCCCCACCCCCUGCUGUCAGGCCUCGGGGAGCGGCUGGGCCUGAACCCCCGGAAGUGCCGGGACAGAGGACACGGGUCGCUGCCUGCUCUUCCCAACAUCGAGCCCCAGCUGCUGCCUUCCUGGAACGCCUUCUACACCUGCAUCAGGUGGGCCUGGCCUAACACCCUGCCCGCUGAGGCCCCCCACCUUAUGGCUACUCAGCCACUGCCUCUCAGAGCCACGAAGGCCAUACCGAAGGGAUGGGAGGAGAUCCUGGGCUUGGCGCAGGGGCUGGUGUGGCUCACUGGUGGCGGGAGGGGAGCUCCGGCCAACUGCACACAGGGGCAGGGCCCUGCUGCCCCCAGACACCCGCCAGUGGCCUUGUAGGGGCUUCCCACCUCAGCACCUGCCUUCAGUGUGAGGACAGAGGCUGGCGCUUGGCCAGGUGCGUGGGCCUCCAGGGCGAUCGACUCGUUAACAACCGGGAGCUUCGGGCUGCAGAGCCCGCGUGGCACCUGGCGGACUGAGUCCAGCUCCCAAGCUCAGAGGCGGUUUGGCAGGACGACCAAGAGCACGGGCACGUGCAGGGCCUGGGUUCACGUUCAACCCCAGGCCCGACGGCGCGGAGUCUCCUCUCCUAACUUGCCCUCCGUUUUCUGUCUGGAGAGCACGGAUCCUUCAAACAGUUGCUGGGCAGAUGCGCUGAGAUCGGCCGCACCCAGGGCCUGCCGCCGCCCCCUGCCUGCCCACGGCUCCCUGCACAGGUAGCAUUUAUCGCAUCACCUCAUAAUUAUCUGCGAGUCUGGGAGCUCCAGGGGAUGGGGAGGAAGGCGGUGUCCCGUCCACACCCCAGCCCCAACCCCCACCCGGGUGCAUCUCCAGGUGGGGGGCGGGUGCGACCCUGCACGGGGCUACGUGGAUGUGCGGUUUCACCGAUGCUGACACCUCUGUGCAUGUCUGGCUCAGCCCGCCUGGGCUUCUGGAAGCUCUCCCCGCCGGCCCCUUCCUCAGCUUCUCUUUGACCCCCUUUACGUCUCAGCCCUGGACGCAGUUCCUCUCUCUAGCUGCAUCCUGCUGAAACACCCUGUUGGCUGAUGCUUCAACCAACAAGCCCGAACCUGAGCUAAGUGGCGACCCUCCCCAGACCUCCACUGGCCAUGGUAGGCAGAGCCCUGCCCUAGGGAGGGGGCCUGGGCAUCUUCGCUGCCCUGUCCAGUGGCCCCAAGCCCUCCCCCUCUCCGCUGCCCCCAGCCACACCUGACCCCAGCCACCCCUCCCACCGCGGCCUCCCCUUCUCACAUGGCAGGAAACCCAGAGAUCCCCAGGCGCCCCUCUCCUCACCCCCUGCAGCCCCGGUGCUCAGAUCACAUCCCUCCCCGACUAGGACACCCUUCAGAGGUGCACGCUACCCUCCAGGUCAGCGCCUGUGGCUGGGCUGGACCCUCCUCCGAGCGGUUCACCCGCAGCCUGGACUCUUCUUCCCUCAGGCCCAACCUCAACACUGCUGCCUCCUCUUGGAAGCCUACCCUGCCUCCUGGUUGGGGGCUGCCCCGGCUCCCGCAGGGCCCCGGGACCCCCGUCACAGCUCCCCACCUCUGCUCUCCUGUUGGCCUCCUGCAUCUGUCUCGGGGGUGCCCAUGGCGGCCAGUGACCAUGGCUAAAUGGACGUGAUGGCUGUCGGGUGGCUGGGAGGCUUGGGCACGGGGCCACAGAAGCGUGAUAGAGCCACAGGUGCUCAACGCUGACCCGUGAGUGUGUGCUGGAUGCCUUCCUUGCUGCAUCUAAGCCUCCGCCUUUCCCAGGCGGGUAUCUUAUUUUCCCCCAUUUUCCAGAAGAGGAAAUGGUUUCGCAGAAGCUGCUACAGUGGGUUGAACAGUCUCCCCCCAGAUCCUCAUCCACCUGGGGGCUCUGAACGGGACCCCAUCUGGAAAGGAGCUCUUUGCAGAAGUCAUCAGUAAUGGUGAGGUCAUCCUGGGUGGGGGCGGGCUCCUAAGUCAGUGAGCAGCGUCCCGUAAGAAGGGAGUCAUGUGGCUUCCCCGCUGGCUCAGCGGGUAAAGAAUCUGCCUGCGAUGCAGGAGACACAGAAGAUGCGGGUUCGAUCCCUGGUCGGGAAGAUCCCCUGGAGGAGGGCGUGGCAACCCACUUCAGUAUUCUUCCCAGAAGCAUCCCGUGGACUGAGGAGCCUGGCGCAUUACAGUCCACGGGUUGCAGAGUCAGACAUGACUGAGCGACUAAGGAGACGCCAACACAGGACACAGGGGUUCCGGUCCCGACCGGGAGGGUCCCACACACCAGGAAGCAGCCCACCCUGUGCUCUCGAGCCUGUGCUCUGCAACAAGAGAAGUCACCGCAGUGAGGAGCCUGCGCACCACAGCUCGAGAGUAGCCCCUGCUCUCUGCACCUGGAGAAAGCCCACGCACAGCAACAGAGACCAGCACAGCGAAAGACGCCUAACUGAAAAGCCAGGAGACACAGACGCAGGGAAGGAGCCCCGGGACCAGGGAGGCAGAGACCGGCGGGAAGCCGCUGCAAGGCAAGGCAGGUGAGGACGCUGGCCACCGCCAGAAGCUGGCGACAGGCAGAGAAAGAGGCUUCUGAAGCACCUUGGAGGGCACAGCCCUGCCAGUGCUUCGGUCGGUUUCCGACUGCUGUCGUUUUAAACUAUCACCAAGUUUGUAGUUCCCGUGUCAUGAGAGCCGUAGAAAACUCACAGCACUACAUGUUUCUGUUCCCCCACAGGGGCAGGUCCAGGGGUUUGGAGCCGGGGCCUGAGGCCACCCCGACCCUGCAGGAAGCUCCCAACCCACCCCUUGGAGCCAGCUCCAGGGGAAACGGUCUCCGCAAUGUCCGUCUGCUUCCUCCCUCCUGUGAGUGCUCCCUCGUCCCUCUUUGUGGUGGCUGCCGGGAGGCUCCAGGGUGCCAGGCUGCUUGCUGAGGUACCCGGGCUGGCCUUCCUCCUCCUGGGCUUGGACAUACACGCUGGGUGGGCAGGGAAGGGGCCCGAAGGUGGGACACAUCCAGCGCAGGGCUGCCCCAGCCCUCCCCCCACACCUGCUGGGUCAUCCAGACCCUGGUUUCCUGUCAUAGCAGCUGGGCCACCAGCUGUCGGGGCUCCUGGUCUCCUGGCAGGUCCCACUCGGGGCCCAGGAUGUCCUCAGCAUCACCCGCUCGCCUGACUCUCCAGCUCCUCAACCUCCCAGCUCACUGGCUCCCGGGGGCGGCAGGGCCGCCCCGCGAGGCUGGGUGCUGUGCUCAGUCCUGUCUGACGCCUGUGACCCCGUGGACUGGAGCCCUCCAGGCUCCCCUGUCCAUGGGAUUUCCCAAGCCAGAAGACAGGGGUGGGGUGCCAUUUCCUUCUCCAGGGGAGCUUCCCAACCCAGGGAUCGAGCCCGAGUCUCCCAAUCUUCUGCGUUGGCAGGCAGGUUCUUUACCACUAGCGCCAGCUGGGGAGCCGGAGACACUGGGUACAAGUUUCUGAACCUUGACCUCAGCCCUGGGGGCUCAGAGGGCAACACCACAGCUCCCACCCCAUCCCACGGGGUCUCCCCAAACACAGCUCAGCUGCCCAGGGCAACUCCACGCAUAGGGAGCAGCAGGCUUUAGUUAAGCACAUACGAGAGCCAGCCUGUGGGGGACAGUGCCCCACCCCUGAGGGCACAGCUCUGCCUCUGGAGCCUCUGUCCAACGCAGAUUGGGACAGUCAACCUGGCCACCCCCACGGGAGGCCGGGGGAGGCCCGUCCAGGGAUCUGAGCCCAGAUGCCACCCUCCCCCCUUUCCUAGAAAACGCCCUCCAGGAAUCUCUCAGCCAAGGACACAGAGGGUGGGGCGGGGAUGAGACUCAGGGCUGGGGAGCAGUUCUCCACUUCCCAUGGGACUCCAAGCUCUGGCCGUAACCCCCUACCCCACCGCUGUCUGGCUGCCCCUUCACGACAUCCAGGCUUGGCCCUCCCCUGCCCACCCCACGCCCCCUCCUCGGCCUUCUCACUCUCGGGGGGGACGGGGUCCAGGCCUGGCUCAGCCUCUGGAAGGAUACGGUCAGGACCUGGGAGGCAUCCCAGCUCUGGCUCCGGUCCUGGGAUGGGGUGCGGUGUGAAGUGUGUGGCUUACCGGGCCUCCGGCUCUGGGAAGGGGUCUGCGAGGCCCCCAGGGCCGCGGGGCCGCUGAGGAAGGCCCUGGCCGGGGCCCCCACCACGUCACUUCAGUGUGCCGUCGACUUGGCCCCGGAGGAGGGCAGGCCGGCCGUCCUGCUGGUUUGCCAAGGAGGAACCCUGUGGUGCCAAGGUGGCCCAGGGACAAAGCCGGCUACAGAGCCAGGGGGAGGGCGUCUGGGUCCAGCCGUCUGACGGCAGGAAAGAAGGGGCCAGGAUAGGAACAAGCCCAGCGCGGGGGGAGGGACGGCGGCUGUGGCGGAACUGCGGCUGGGGGGGCGGGGGCCGGCCCCUGCCUCCUCUCCGGGGCUCAGCCCUCAGGACCACGAGCCCAGCACGGUCCUCUCAGACCUUCUCCUGCGGGGGGCGGAGCGGUGCUUAGCCCUGCAGAAGGAGCUGAAGUCUGCCUCCCCCCCCACCCCCCCGUGGGCCGGUUCUCCCCCAUCACGGGCCCUGGGCACCCUUCCCAAGCUGGACACACACCCUCCCUGCUGUGGGAGUCGGGGCUCUGGAGCCAAAUUCCCCUGCGCUGGGAUGCGAAGGGGCUGGGGGGAGGAGCUAUAAGGGGCAGCGGGCCCCCAGGGAAGACCCCUCCAGCGAGCGGCCCCCACCACGCACACAGACGCUUCCCCCACUUCUGCCUGGGAGGGAGCCUGAAGGCAGGCAGGUGCUGCCAGCCUGCCCAGAGCUGGGGUGAGAUCAACCAGCACCCCCAAGGCCCCUGGCUCGCCCAGCUCUGCCGCCAGCCAAGGAGGGAGGGAGGGUAAAUAUUUGUCAAGGCAGGAGAGUCUGCGAAGGGUGAAAAAGUCAGGUACUAUUGCUGCGCUGCGGCGGAGGGCUGGGGGGAGGUUCUGAGAACCGGUACCGGCACCGCCUGAAGCCGCCCCCCACCCCGCCCUGACCCCCAGUCCAGUCUCCUUCCUUUCGUCGCCAAAACGACCGACCCACGGUCAGCCCCGGAUGCCCGAGGCUUUGGAGGCGCCGAGCGCCACCCCCCUCCGGUGACCCCAGUCCCUGGCGACACAGCUCGAGCCAGGACGAGCGCGGGCCGACGGCCUCCUCCAGCGACACCCCUAAACCGAGCGUGGGAUCUCCGGGAACCCCGCAGGGGCCCUCCUCUUUCCCCCGCCCCGCUCCGGCCCGGCCAGGGCGCGCAGCCUCGGAUCGCGCGCCCCGCACGCGGCGCAUCCCUGGGCAGGAGCAGGGCCGGGGCGGGGCCGGGGCGGGGCGCCGGGCCGCCGGGCCUCCCGCCCGCUCUACGCCCGCCGCGCGGCGGCCAUGGGGGCGCGGCUGGGCCGGCGGGCCGGGCCCGACGCGGGCUUGGAGGCCGGGGCGGCGGCGGGGUGCGGGCCCGCGCCUUGGGAGCGCUGGGUGCGCGGGCUCCGCGAGAUCCAGUCCACGCUCCGCGAGUGGCGGCCCGAGCGCGCCCGGCAGCUGCGGCGCCUUCUGCGCCAGGCGAGAGAAGGAGCGGGCCGGCCGGGGCUGGAGGCCGGGGAGGGGCCGGGAGGCAGUGCCGAGCGGGGGCGCGCGCGCCGGGCGGUUCCCAGGGGAGGGGACGAUGGGGGUCUUGUCUAGGCCGCAGGGCGAGGCAAGGACGGAGGGCAGUGGGCUACAGCUGGGGAGGGGCUCCCUGGACCGUCCGCUCAUCUCAGGGGUUUGAGGUCGGCUGUGGCUCCUAGCCUGGAGCUAGGUGCCUGCCUUCAGACCCUGCCAAGAAAGGAGGCCAGCUGGGGGCCAGUGGUCUUGUCCUGGGGGGCAAUGGGGAGACGGGAGGCCGGGCCCUGGAUCCUGCAGCCAGGACCUGGGGGAGCUGAGCUGCCGCCCGGCUGGUCAGCGGGUGCAGCAGCCUCACCCUAGCAGCCCAGACAAGGGCCAGCCUCCUCGCGGGCAGUGCCCCAGGCCACUGAGGACACACGGCUGGCACCCUCUGUGCCUUCCCAGCAUUGGGUCGGGGUGGGCGGGGCCCUGGCUCCACAGACGCCAGCCCCCAGCCCCAGGCUCCCAGGAGUCACCACCGAGCAAGCCGCUGCCCUCUCUGCCGAGUCCUGGUGCCCUGCGGCCGCCACCGCCCACCCCGCCCCGUGCGCUGAGAUCGGCCUGGUGCACAGGUGGACAUGCUCGGGAAGACGGAGGCUUGGAGAAGAGCUGCGAGCCUAGGGCCGCAGAGCAAACUGGGGGCCAGCCGAGGCCGCAGCCCACCCCUCUGGGCUCCGCAGGCUAGAGGCUGGCCCUUUCGGGGGAGCUGUCCGCACCUGCAGAAGGCAGGCUGGGGUCCCUGGGACCCGGUCUGGGUCAGCCCUGGCUUCUUCUGGACCCUCCCUAGCUGGCAUCUCCCACUUGAACCGUGUGUGAAGUGCAAGCAGAGCAGCAUGCAUCAGCCAGGGCCCCGGAUCUCCGUCUGGCAAGGAGCCCAAGGAGCACUGGCUGGGUAUUUUAGCUGGGUGUCCCAGAGUUGGUGCCCUGCCCUGUCCCAUGGCCAACAGGGCCUCUGCAGUUUCGGCCCUCGGGCACUGGGGCCUGGCUUCCUGUGCCCUCCUGGGCUUUACGCACAGAGCACGCUACUUUCUGGCUUGGGGUGGGCAGAGGCGCCUGAGGUCUGGAGGCCCAUCCUGGUUGUGCCUGUCGCAUCCUGUAAACGGACCCCCUAAAAGACAGCACGCCGGGUGCAAGGGGAUAACAGGAGGAAGCCAGGGGGUGGGGGGCGGGAAGGACAGGGCAGGCCAGGGACCUGAAGGGGGAUGUGCAUGAGGCUGGGAGGCUGGACGGGGGCUGGACAGGGGGGCUGGUGGGUGGGGGAGGCCGUGGAGGCCAGAGUCUGAGGCUUGCAGACUGUCUCUGCCACCCCAUGGCUGUGAGGACAUUUGAUCUCCACCGAGGGGGUCAAGCCCAGGGGUGUCGUGGAGCUGGCUCUGGCUGGGAGGGGCGGGAGGCCAGGGCCCCUGGGAGGAGGCUGUCGGGCCGAGGCCUGAGGCUGCUUGAGCGGUGCGCGGGCUGGGCAGGGGGUGGAGGGUGCAAGCGGGGUGGUCCCUGUGCUCUGCAGCGAGCCUGGGAAGACGGGGCUGGCAGCGUUCUCUACUGAGUGAGGGAACAGGAGCGGAGUGCCACCCCGACAGGAAGGGUGUGGACGGCAGCCAUUGCGCAGGACUGCGGCCUAGGUGGGUAGAGGCGGGGGGACCCGAAGGGAAUGCUGGAGGGCGGGGGCACUGGGGGGGUCAUCAGAGCAGCCCCCCAAAGACAAGCCCAAUCCCAGGGAAGGGCGUCCUGCAAGCCUGGGGCGGGGGCAGCAGUUGGGAGGGCGUCCAGGGCAGGGAGGCCGCGGCCCUGGCUCCCUCUACUCUCAGCGGCCUGCAGGAUUUGGGCCCAGAAGGGGCCCUGCUCACUGGCCUGCUUUGCAGGAACGCCGCCUUCCUCAGCCCACGGCCUGCUUGGGCCCCUGGCCCGGGACCUGCAGUGCCCCGAGGCGGUGAGGCCCACGCCCCAGGCCGGGCAGCGUGGUGGACGGGGGCCUGGAGUUGCCCUCGGGGGACCCCCCCUGGCCUGCUGCAUGCGUGGCCUCAGAAGGAGGGUCAGCGUCCCUCUCUGGGACCCCGUGCCGGCGUCGUGUGUGAGGCUGGCCUGCAGCUGCAGCCCAUGGGAACCCUGCUGACCCCGCCCCGGGGUGUCACCUGUCAUUUGGACCCGUUUCCUGAGCCGUGGGCCCGGCCCUGGGACCCAGGCAGGGGGUCGCGUGGGGAACCCUCGGGAUCCAGAACACCCUGACAGACCCACUGAGUCCCAGCGCUGGGAGAGCCGGUCCACAUGUACCCCUGUGGACAGGAGCCCACCGCCUCCCUGGGCAGUGCACGACGGGAGCAGAUCUCUCCUCCUGCUGGGCUGGCCCCUGCCACCUGCCGUCCACCCCGCGGGCCCAUCGGACGUCCCGCCGUGAGGCUGGCAGGGGCCUUGCUCCUGACAACCUGAGGCUGCCGCAGCCCCUGUCACAGUGAGCCCCGGCGUGAGACAGGGGCGCCCUCCCCCGGGCCCGGCCGGCUGUGAGCCGGCCCUGUCCAGGUGCAGCGGUCGCCGCAGGCGCCCCGAGGCUGGCCUGGAGCCGUUGCGGGGACCCCGGGCUUGCUGCCACUGUGCACGCACGCUGCUCGCAGAGCCUGGAUGAAAGAAUGUGCUGGGUGGCGGAGUGGGCUGGGUGCCGGCUCUGCGGAAAGCAGGCCGCCCCACAUCCUGCCCAGCUGGGCCUCUGCGAGGGCCGGCUUAGGAGCGAGAGAGAGAGGGGGCCAGGAUGGGGGCGGGGGGCGCCGUCAAACAGCCACCCUCCCCCGGCAGCCCAGACCCAGUCCACGGGCGCCGGCCCGCUGGACGGGGAGAGGGGGGAGGGCGUGCUGACCUGGCUGGCUCCUGUUUCCUGGGGCGGCGUGGGGGCAGCGGGGCUCCCUGGAGGGGCCUGGUCCCGGGGGGCGCUGAGGGCGUGCGGGGAGCCGGCGGGUCGCCCGAGGCUCUGGCCCGGGGCCUGAGGACCGGGAACAAGGGCCCAUUGUCUGGGCCUCCUCCCGCCGGGCCCCGCGGGCCUCGGACCAGCCUGUCCAGCUCCCAGCGGGCAGCCUCUCCUGGCUGCGAGCCAGGCUGCGGCGGGGGGUGGGGGGGGUCAGCCAGUGGGCGGCCCGAGGUCGGCCGGCCGGCUGUGCGCAUGCCCACGCUCGGGCCCCCAAGGCCAGCCUCCCUGACCACACUGCCCCCCGCAGCACCUGGAGCUCGGAGUCCUCCGGGCAGGACCUGCCAGCAGCUGUCUACGGCCUCGGCCCUCAUGACAGGUGGCCGCGGGGGGCCCACCCGCCCUGGAGGGAGGCUCAGGGCUGGAGAAGGGGCAGGCACGCGGCCCCCCAGCCCAAGGCACCCCCCCGGCCCAGCUCCUCUCCGUGGGAGCUGCCGUCCCCACGCCUGGCCCAGGGCCCGGCCCCCUGGACCAACAUGACCUCAGUGGUGGUCAGCUGAGUCCCCGCGGCAGCCUGGGAGGCAGGCGGCACCCAGGUCCUGUCACCAGGAAGGAAACUGAGGCUGGGGCAGGCGUGUCGUGCCCAGGGCCACACCGUCCUCUGGGAACCCCCGGCCUGAGCGGGGGCUCCACGGCCAGCCCAGCGGCCCGCGCUGCUGCGGGGUCCCCCUCAGUCAGCCCACCGCGGCCUCGUGCGCAGACUCGUUCUGGCAACAGGCCACUGGCCCCCAGGCCCUGGAGCGCCUCCUUGGCCUCAGGCCUGAGGGCCCACGCUCGGUCUGGGGCCUGUGGGGGCUGUUCCUUGCCUUGGCAGGCGGGGGCCCUGGAGGUGCUCCCACCACUCUAGGCCCCCAGGCAGCCAGCCCCGGGCUCAAAUGACAGAACCACAGGGUUCUGCGGGGUGGGGGACCCUCCUCCGUCUCGAGUUCCAGCUUAUGACGCAGGGAGCCUCCCACAGGGCAGGUCCCAGCCCACGUUCCCCAACACGGCCCUCUUGCUUAGCCUGGGUCUGUUCCCUCUCUGGCCCCCAAGCCUCGGGGUGGGGGACACCAGUCACCCUCAUAGGAGCAUCCAUCCUUCCAAAACGGUCAGUGACCUUUGAGGAGGCACGUGGAAACACUGACGGGUGGGCUCGGGUCCAGCACCCUGAUUUGGAGACCUGGCUGUCCCUUAGUGCCAUGUGGCCGUGGAGGAGUCGGGUCACCCCCGCCCCCAGCACCACGGGAUAAGCAAUGCCACCCCACUGGGUUGGCGUAAAAAUCAAGAGACAACCAUCGUGACAGGUGUGGGGAGGCUGCAAACAGCGGGUUUUUAGAACGGCCUUGAUGAGCACAGGUGCAUCGAAUCCUCACAACCAGGCUGCCUCUUAACCAAGGGGGAAACUGAGGCUCAGAGCUCUUGCCAGCAUUGCCCGUGGCCACUCGCUCAGGAAGUGGCCGUGCGCAGGGGCCUGGGCCGCCCUGACUGGGGGUCGCCGCCUGUGGCCAGGGUGGUGGUGGCGGCGGGGCCCUUGUCAGUCCCUCCCCACCCGUGACUCUCCCGCAGCCUCCGGACGACUCUGCCGGCAGGUGAGGCCGUGGACCUGUCGGGAACCCCCGUUGGCCCGGGACCCGCAGCCCGUCACGCGCUACUUGGGCUGGCAGGGCUGGCCCUAAGCUUCACAGGGUUCAGCGACAGGCUGCUGUGCCCGCUGCUGCCCAGCCUAUGAGCCAGCACCCCUUGCCGCCCACCAUCCACGAGGGCCCGGACCCGGGGUCCCGGCCCUGGCAUCCCCCUGGGGCUCUGUGGCUGUGGGGCCCACGCCCCAGGCCUGCUGCACCGGGUGACCCGCCGGCCGCCUGGCUCCUGCCUCCAGAGCUCGUGGGCGGAUGGGAUGAUGGGGGCGGAGGUCCCCCGGGAGCCAGUGUGCGGAGGAGGAGGGGGGCCGGCACGUAUAAAGGGCCACGUUCCUCUCCACCUCAGCCUUUCUGCACCGUGGGCCUCGGGGGCCACUGGGCACCAGCCUGGCCCCUGGGGUGAGGAGAAGUGGGGGCCUGCAAAAGGGAGGGACCAGACUCACUCUGACCUCCCCUGGGUGCUCCCUGGACAGCGUCCCCUGGGAGGCCGGAGAAGCGGGAGGUCCGUCUGUGGGCGGGGACUUGGAGGGGACCUCCGGGGACUGGCCCUCAGGUCCGGGCAGGGCCUGGGCACCUGGAGGACGGGACCCAGAGCGGGGCAGAGCUCCUGCCUGAGCCCAGGCUGCUGAACACCCCCUCAACCGGGAUUCCCUGGGCCAGGCACACGACUGUGCCGAUGGGGCGAGGCCUGUCUCCCGUGGGGCGAACUGCUGCCCACCAGCUCUGGUGCCCACCCUCCAGGCCUCCUGCACUUGGUGAGUGGGCGGCUCCACAGGGCAGGGGAGGAGAGACAGCAGUCAGAGACAAAGAGCCCUGUGUUCUCUGCAGGCCCUGGGGGCCCCCAUGCGGAGUCCUCCCCCGUGGGGAAACCCAAGGGCGCAUGCGGGGGUGGGGGGUGGGCACAGCUGGCAGCAGGAGGCCCGGGGGAAGCAGGACCCACGGGCGGGCUGCAGACCAGGCGCCUCCCUGCCCGCCCAGGCCUGCGUGGGGGGCUGGGCAGGGACGCCAAGCUAGUCGAACGGUGUCCCUGUGCCUGGCCCAGGGCGCCCCUGCAGGCCAGCGCCAGGGGCGGCGGGAUCCCCCGCCUCGCGGAGCGCCCCAGUGAACCCUCCCUGGAGCUCCGGCCCUCAACGGACCGCGAGCUGGCACCGUGACACUCGUCUGUAGGCCGCCAGAUGCCCGGCAGCAUCUUGGGCCAGAAGGGCGGCGUCAGGCCUGGGAGGGUAGGAGGGGGUGAGGUUAGGCCCCUGCCUCCCUGCGCCUGGGGGAGCCCUACCCAGAGGGGCUGGAAGGCGUGAGCGGACCCGUUCAGCCCAGCUCUGCUCCCCUCUGUGCAGCUCUCCGCUCUCUGCUGUGGGGUCCUCGCCCUUCCCCAGCCUCCUUGCUUUAACGACGUGGACCUGCCCAGUGACCCCCACUCUGGGACAGUGGGCUCGGGCCCCAGGGGAACUGGAGGAUGAACAGGCCGGCCCGGGCCGGGCGAGCUGCUGAGCUGCAUCCUGCGACUCCAGGCUGUGAGUCUGUGGCCUCCCCCCACCCCUCCUCCCUGCCCACCCCAGGCCCGCGUCUGCCAGACCUGGGCCUGACGACUGCGACCGCGUGGAGGGCGUCUCACCGGGAUGCUGUGAGGACCGUGGCCGGUGUUGCUGGCUGAGCUCUGGCUGGAUGCAGGCGGUGGCAGCUGGUCUCAAUCUCCCGGCCUCUCAGAUGGAUGCCUGCGAUGCCCCUGGCCAGGCAGGGGUGUGAAGCGGCUCUGAGCCAGUCUGCCCUGUUCCCAUGCAGGUGUCCAGAGCCCCUUCGAGGGGCCCUUGCGAACCCCAGAGAGGCUUCCUCUGUGGGCAGGGACACCCAGGAAGCCGGCUGCAGGCGGAGGAGACACCAGGGGGGCCUGGCUGGGGCCGGUCCGCUCCUAGGCCCAGUCUCAGAGGCGGACAGACCUGGCCUGGUCCCGCCCGUCACCCGUGGACGGUGCGGUCCUCUCAGGGCCCGGCCCCUCAUCUUGGGAACAAGGGUCACCGAGCCGCCCCUUGUCCCGCUGGCGCGAGGCUGACAAGGCUUGGAAAGGGCCUGCCGCAUGGGGGGCACCGGGCAGAGGCUCUGCAGCGUCAGCGGGCCUCCACCCAGGGCUCUCUGGGUGGGAAUGGCAAGAGCCCAGGCCCCAGGACAAGGCAGGGCUGACGCCAUCUAUUUAUUUAAGAGCGCUCUGCAGCCUCGGCUGGGGCCAAGCACUGUUCCGAUGGCUUUACACCACUUCAGUUCUCUCUGCAUCUGCAGGAGGUGAGCGAACUGAGUCAGCAAGAGGUUGAGAGACCUGUCUGAGGUCAAAGGGCUAGGAACGGGGAGGAGCCAGGAGACUGAGCCCCGCUCAGGCGUGUGGGAUCCGUGCCCGCUUCUGGCAAGCUGGCAGACAGCUGCAGAAGCCUUCGUCCCUCCGGCCUCCGCUUCUUGGGUCGUGCCAGCGUGUUGAGAGCAUCAAGAGGAAAGAACGAAAACACGCCUGUCCUCUGCAGGACGGAGGUGACCAACGCGCGGGAACUUCUGUCCUGGAAGGAAGGACGUGUGAGCCCAGACAGAAUGCUUUAAUUAAAAACCCUUCCUCCUUGGAAGAAAAGCUGUGACAAACCUAGAGAGCGUAUUUAAAAAGCAGAGACGUCGCUUUGCUGACCAAGGUCUGUAGAGUCAAAGUUAGGGUUUUCCCAGUGGUCGUGUACAGAUGUGAGAGUUGGACCAUAGUGCAGGCCGAGCGCCGAAGAAUUGAUGCUUUUGAACUGUGGUGUUGGAGAAGACUCUUGAGAGUCCCUUGGAUAGCAAAGAGAUCAAACCAGUCAAUUCUAAAGGAAAUCAACCCUGACUAUUCAUUGGAAGGACUGAUGUUGAAGCUGAAACUCCAAUACUUUGGCCACCUGAUGCGAAGAGCCAAUUCACUGGAAAAGACCCGAUGCUGGGAAAGACUGAGUGCGGG
ensembl:lncRNA